ensembl:lncRNA
GUGUUGGUGCUGGGCAGGCCCCAGGCAGAACAAUGAGAAUAUGAGAAAUCAGGGUCCCCUGAGUUGGGGAUGGGAUCUUGGAGCCCCGGGGUGGGGGUCUGGCUGGAGGAGGAAGUGAUGGACGCGAGAGGGCCCCUCCUGAGGCUUGGGGAUUCUGCUGCCCAGCAAGCAGAGCUACCUGUAGGCUUGGACAGACCCUGCCGCCGAAGGGGGUGUACCCCUGUUGGCCACCCAAUGGAGCCCGAUGGGGUGGAGGCUCACCCGGGCCUUGCCUUCCGGGCUACCGCGGCUAAACGGCUUCCCCGCUCGGGGCGGGCAGCCCCCUCCCCGGCCCUGCGGCUGCACGCAGAAUCAGGCCAGCAUCUCUCCCCAGGCCCCAGCUCUUGGGCGUGGGCCCCAGGUGGGUUAGCGCUCGCCUGACAUAACCCGUUAGCGCCUCUCGCCUUGGCGGCUCCCCGCUCCGCCCGCCUCCCCGCUGACCCUCUCUGGGCUGCCUCACCAGGGCAGGGUGAGAAGGCAUCUGCAGGGUGACCAGCAGCCCCCCAAGGUCUGCAAGGAGGGCCGCUGUGCCCACCCCGCUCUCCUCCGCUCGGGCCCAGAGGCAGCCUCUAGGCUGAGAUUCCCAGAAGCCACUGCGGGCGGACAAGCGGGACAUACUCUGGGCCAUGGAGACUUUGAGGAUAUCUCUGGGCUUCUUGGUCUUCCCUGGUGGUUCAGACAGUAAGGAAUCUGCCUGCCAUGCUGGAGACCCAGGUUCGAUCCUUGGGUCAGGAAGAUCCCCUGGAGAAGGGACCCAGCAGAGACGGUGGCUGUGACUAAGGAUGCUUCUUUUUUCACGUUGAGUGGGAAAUGGUCAACAUUGGAGGAAGCUGGCCAUGGAGGUUCUCCGGUGUCAAGCAAGUGGAGAUCUGGUCACAUGAAUCGCCUGCUCUUCCUUGGUGCUGAAUGGACAAGAGCUGGCAGGUGGACAGAAGAAGGAGCUCGGCCCCCUAAUUCGGCC